rnacentral:lncRNA from 1 species
CCCCAGUCUCCACUGUGAUUAAAUCACCUUCCACCAGGCCCCACCUUUAACAUUCUGAUUACAAUUCCACAUGAGUUUUUGUAGGGACACAGAGCUAAAUUUUAUUAUUCUCUCCCUGGCUCCCCAAAUCUCAUGUCCUUCUCACAUUGCAAAAUACAAUGCCUUCCCUACAGUCCCCUAAAAUCUUACAUCAUUCCAGCAUUUACACAAAUGUUCAAAGUUUAAAGUCUCAUCUGACACAAGGCUACAGUAGCUUAGGCCCAUGAGCCUCUGAAAUACAAAGCAAGUUAACUACUUCCAAGGUACAGUGCUUGUACAGGCAUUGGGUAAGCAUUCCCAGCCAAAAGGAAGAAUUUUGCCAGAAGAAAACAAAACACAGAUAGGACUUACCGGCCCCAUGAAACUCCAAACCCAGAAGGCCAGUCAUUCAAUCCUACAGCUCCAAAAUCACCCUUUUUGAAACCUUGUCCCACAUCCACGGCACAGGGGUGUGUGAGGGCUGGGCUCCCAAGGCCUUGGGCAGCUUGACACCUAUGGCUUUGCAGGGUUUAUGCCCCAUGGCUGUCCUCAUGGGCUGGGCUGGUAUUGAGUGCCUGUGACUUUUCCACAUUGAGGAUACAAGUUGUUGGCGGGGGGUGGGGGGGUCUAUGAAUCUGGGAUCUGCAUUAUGGUGACCUCCAGUGUGGGGGCUCCAACCCCAUAUUUUCCUUCCGCACUGCCCUAGUAGAAGUUUCAUAUAAGGCUGUGCCUUUUUGGGAUGCUUUUGCCUGGACACCCAGGCAUUUGCAUACAUCUUCCAAAAUCUAUAGAGAGGAUCCCAAGCCUCUAGUCUCAUGCUCCAUCCACCAGUGACUUAACACUGUGAGGAAGUUACCAAGGCUUCUAGUCUGUACCAUCUGUAGCUUGGGUCACCCAAGCUGUGCCUGUGCAUCUUUCAGCCAUGGCUGGAGCUGGAGCUGGAGCUGGAGCUGGAGCUGCAGGUAUGCAGGCAGCAGUAUCCUGAGGCUGCAUAUAAAGGGGGGUCAUGGAACUGGCCCAGAAAACCAUUCUUCUCUCCUAGGCCCCAGGGCCUGUAGAGCAAGGGCUUCUGCAAAGGUCUCUGAAAGGCCUUCAAGGCCUUUUCCUUAUUGUCUUGCCUAUUAGCACUGGGCUCCUUCUCGUGCAAGUUUCUGAAGCCUUCCUCAAUUUUCCCCCGGAAAAUCAGCUUUUCUUUUUGACUACUUGGCAGGGCUGCAAAUUUUCCAAAUUUUUUAGUUCUGUUUCUCAUUUAAUGUACGAGUUGUGACUCAUUUAAUGUAAGUCCCAUCAAGAGGUCAUUUCCUCCAUCACACAUAAGAGCACAGGCUGUUCCAUGGAGACAGGACACCUCUUGAGCUUUGCUGCCCAGAAGUUCAUUCCACCAGAUACUCAGUAAGUCAUCACCCUCAAGCUCAAAGUUUCACAAAUCUCCAGGGCAGGGUCACUGUGCAGCCACAUUCUUUGCUAGGGCAAAACAAAAGUAACUUUGGCUUCUGUUCCCAUUAAGUUCCUCAUUUUCAUCUGAGACCUUCUAAGUCUAGCUUUCACUGACCAUUUUCCCGUGAGCCUUCUGAUCACAAGUAUUUAACAAUUCUUUACAAAGAUCCAAACUUUCCCUCAUCUUCUUGUCUUGGAAGCCCUCCAAACUCUCCCGAACUCUGUCUGCUAUCCCCUUCUGAAUCUGCUUCUACAUUAUCAGCUAUCUUUGCCGCAGCCUGGCAGUGUGGUAAAGGAAGACAAGUCCAUUUUCAGGGGGAAAAUUCAAGAAGGCUUCAGAUACUUGAAUGAAAAGAAGCUGAGUGCCGAUUGCCAAGACAAUAGGGAAAAGGCCUUGAAGACAUUUAAUAGUUCCACUUUGCACUACUAAUUUUCUCUAGAAUCAUAAAGGAAAGAUGUUUAAUUGGCUCAUGAUUCUGUAGGCUGUAAGGAGGCCUAGUGGCUUCUGAAUCUGGGAGGACUCAGGUAGCCGCCCAAUCAUACCAGGAUGUCGAGGGGCAAUGAGAUGAUUCAUGUGGCAGGAGGAGGAGCAAGACAGAGAGAAGAAAAAGGUGCCAUGCCCUAUUAUACAACCAGAUAUCAUGAAAACUCACUAUCACAAGGUCAGCAUCAUGAAGAUGGUGCUUAAUCAUUGCUGAAGGAUCAACCACUCACCCCCAACUCCCACUGUUUCUAGGCAGAAGCCUGAUGCAGAGGCAGAGCCUCUUGAAAAACCUCUACUAGAGAAGUGUGGAAGGAAAAUAUGGGCUUGGAGCCCCCACACAGAUGGCCACCAACCUCCAGACCCCAGAUUCAUAAGCCCACCAACAGCUCACACCCUCAGUAUGGAAAAGCUACAGGCACUCAACACCAGCCCAGCCCAUGAGAGCAGUGGCAGGGGCUAAACCCUGCAAAGCCACAGGUGCACUGCCCUAGUAGAGAUUUCUCAUGAGGCUUUGCCUCUGCAGCAGGCUGCUCCCCCUUCCUACUACCCACCACCCUCACACCAUCCUACUGCCAGCCUACUCCUCCCCACCUUAACCAACCCUUUUCCUUCCACCCCAACCCCCUCCAAUCCAUGAUUAAAUCAUCUUCCCCAGGCCCCACCUUCAACAUUUGGAAUUACAAUUCCACAUGAAUUUUUACAGGGACACACAGCCAAACCAUAUUAUUCUGACCCUGCUAUCCCAGAAUCUCAUGUCCUUAUCACAGAGUAAAAUACAAUCAUGCCUUUUCAAAAGUUCAAUAGCUCCACUUUGCAGUACCAAUUUUCUCUAUGAUCAUAAAGAAAAGAGGUUUAAUUGUUAAUGAUUCUGCAGGCUGUAAGGAAGCACAGUGGCUUCUCCAUCUGAGAGGACUCAGGAAGCCUCCCAAUCAUACCAGAAUGUCAAGGGGCAAUGAGAUGUCUCAUAUGGUAGAAGUAGGAGCAAGAACACGAGAGGAAAAAAGAUGUCACACCCUAUUAUACAACCAGAUCUCAGAGAACUCCCUAUCACAAGGUCAGCAUCAUGAAGAUGGUGCCUAAACAUUAGUGAAGGAUAUGACCCACACCCCAACUCCCACUGUUACCAGGCAGAAGCCUCCAGCAGAUGAAGAGCCUCUUGGAAAACUUCUAUUAUGGAAGUACAGAAAGAAAAUAUGGGCUUGGAGCCCCCACACAGGUGGCCACCAAUCUCCAGACCCCAGAUUCACGGACCCACCAACAGCUUGUACCCUCAGUGUGGAAAAGCUACAGGCCCUUAAUACCAACCAGCCCAUGAGAACAGCUGAGGGGCUAAACACUGCAAAGCCACAGGUGCACUGCCCUAGUAGAGGCUUUCCAUGAGCCUCUCACUCUGCAGCAGGCUACUCC